rnacentral:rRNA from 1 species
ACUCAAAUGAAUUGACGGGGGCCCGCACAAGCGGCGGAGCAUGCGGAUUAAUUCGAUGCAACGCGAAGAACCUUACCUGGGUUUGACAUGUAGAGAAAACCGGUGGAGACAUCGGGUCCGUAAGGGUUCUAUACAGGUGGUGCAUGGCUGUCGUCAGCUCGUGUCGUGAGAUGUUGGGUUAAGUCCCGCAACGAGCGCAACCCUCGUCCUAUGUUGCCAGCACGCCCUUCGGGGUGGUGGGGACUCAUGGGAGACUGCCGGGGUCAACUCGGAGGAAGGUGGGGAUGACGUCAAGUCAUCAUGCCCCUUAUGUCCAGGGCUUCACGCAUGCUACAAUGGCCGGUACAAAGGGCUGCGAUGCCGUAAGGUGGAGCGAAUCCCAAAAAGCCGGUCUCAGUUCGGAUUGGGGUCUGCAACUCGACCCCAUGAAGUCGGAGUCGCUAGUAAUCGCAGAUCAGCAACGCUGCGGUGAAUACGUUCCCGGGCCUUGCACACACCGCCCGU